CUUGGUCAUUUAGAGGAAGUAAAAGUGUAAACAGGUCUCCGUUGGUGAACCAGCGGAGGGAUCAUUACCGAGUUUACAACUCCCAAACCCCUGUGAACAUACCAUUUGUUGCCUCGGCGGUGCCUGCUUCGGCAGCCCGCCAGAGGACCCAAACCCUUGAUUUUAUACAGUAUCUUCUGAGUAAAUGAUUAAAUAAAUCAAAACUUUCAACAACGGAUCUCUUGGUUCUGGCAUCGAUGAAGAACGCAGCGAAAUGCGAUAAGUAAUGUGAAUUGCAGAAUUCAGUGAAUCAUCGAAUCUUUGAACGCACAUUGCGCCCGCCAGUAUUCUGGCGGGCAUGCCUGUUCGAGCGUCAUUUCAACCCUCAAGCCCCCGGGCUUGGUGUUGGAGAUCGGCGUGCCCCCCGGGGCGCGCCGGCUCCCAAAUAUAGUGGCGGUCUCGCUGUAGCUUCCUCUGCGUAGUAGCACACCUCGCACUGGAAAACAGCGUGGCCACGCCGUUAAACCCCCCACUUCUGAAAGGUUGACCUCGGAUCAGGUAGGAAUACCCGCUGAACUUAAGCAUAUCAAUAAGCGGAGGA
rnacentral:rRNA from 2 species